CAACAGGGAUUGCCCUAGUAACGGCGAGUGAAGCGGCAACAGCUCAAAUUUGAAAUCUGGCUCUCGGGCCCGAGUUGUAAUUUGUAGAGGAUGAUUUUGAUGCGGUGCCUUCCGAGUUCCCUGGAACGGGACGCCAUAGAGGGUGAGAGCCCCGUCUGGUUGGAUGCCAAAUCUCUGUAAAUCUCCUUCGACGAGUCGAGUAGUUUGGGAAUGCUGCUCUAAAUGGGAGGUAUAUGUCUUCUAAAGCUAAAUACCGGCCAGAGACCGAUAGCGCACAAGUAGAGUGAUCGAAAGAUGAAAAGCACUUUGAAAAGAGAGUUAAAAAGUACGUGAAAUUGUUGAAAGGGAAGCGUUUAUGACCAGACUUGGGCUUGGUUAAUCAUCUGGGGUUCUCUCCAGUGCACUUUUCCAGUCCAGGCCAGCAUCAGUUUUCGCCGGGGGAUAAAGGCUUCGGGAAUGUGGCUCCCCUCGGGGAGUGUUAU
rnacentral:rRNA from 1 species